GGUGCCACUGAGGUGGGGGCACCACGCCAGUUCCUGCCACCCGCACCCCAUUGCCCACCUGCCCAGCCCCAGGGCCCCUCAGCCACUUGCCUUCAGCUCCGGCCUAGGAUCAGCGAGGCCUAGGAUCGGAGCAGCCUGCAAACUGCAGAGCUCUUCACUCCCCGCCUCUCAGCUGAUCGGCGGGUGGGAGGGGCUUCCAAAGAGGCUUCCGAAUAGGCCUCCCUGAAGCCUGAACUCAGCAGGCCCCAGCAAGCCAAGAAGGAGGCUGGCAGAGCUCCCUGCAGUAGACCAGACCAUCCAGCACAGCUUUUGCAGGGACCAAAUGUUAUACUUAGAACAGCUAUGCAAAGAAGGUUUCCUACUAAGAACCUAGAGAAGGAUGGAAAUAGUGAAUGACCCCGUAGUGUACUGCAAAGGUCUGAAUUACAAACUACGUCCAGUGUACUUGGACAGGUCAUGCUGUGCCUUUUCAGGUAGUGGCAGAAGCAGCACUGGAAGUGCUAGAUCUUGCCGUCAGCUCUGACCAGCUGCUAGCAUCAUUCUAAAGACAUUCCAGGACCAAAAAUGGCAGCCAAAUGGAGCCGGCCACUGGGAAGAGGCCAAGCCCUUUAAAUGCUGCUUCUGCCUCCACUUGCAAAGUGGAAUGCGCCUCUACAAAACCUGCAAAACCUGUUUAACCAGAGGGGAUAAUGAGAUGAAAGAAAUACCUGCAUGCAGUAUGAGAAGUAGUGCCAUUCUCAAAGGCAUUGUUUCUCCCUUCCAAAUCCCUUAAAAACUGGCAUUUACCUCCACUCUCAGACUGAGGUAAACAAGAAGACACCCAAGCGAUCUCCCUGCAAGACACCCAAGUGAUCUCCCCUCCUAGCAGUCUAGGACUUACCAUUUUUACCACCUUUCAAUGGAGAAGUUCCCAAAAUGGUCUAAUAGAAGAAGAAGAAGAAGAAGAAGAAGGCGGUUCUCUGUUCCCAAAGGGCUCACAGUUUAACAAAAGACACACCAGCAGCAGACAUUGAAGAAAUGCUGUGCUGCAUUUGAAUUGGAUCAAUUACCCCCACCUCCGCUAAAUAUAAAAGAAUCACUGCU